rnacentral:rRNA from 1 species
AGAGUUUGAUCCUGGCUCAGAUUGAACGCUGGCGGCAUGCCUUACACAUGCAAGUCGGACGGCAGCGCGGGGGCAACCCUGGCGGCGAGUGGCGAACGGGUGAGUAAUACAUCGGAACGUGUCCUGGAGUGGGGGAUAGCCCGGCGAAAGCCGGAUUAAUACCGCAUACGCUCUAUGGAGGAAAGCGGGGGAUCUUCGGACCUCGCGCUCAAGGGGCGGCCGAUGGCAGAUUAGCUAGUUGGUGGGGUAAAGGCCUACCAAGGCGACGAUCUGUAGCUGGUCUGAGAGGACGACCAGCCACACUGGGACUGAGACACGGCCCAGACUCCUACGGGAGGCAGCAGUGGGGAAUUUUGGACAAUGGGGGCAACCCUGAUCCAGCAAUGCCGCGUGUGUGAAGAAGGCCUUCGGGUUGUAAAGCACUUUUGUCCGGAAAGAAAACUUCGCUCCUAAUACGGGUGGAGGAUGACGGUACCGGAAGAAUAAGCACCGGCUAACUACGUGCCAGCAGCCGCGGUAAUACGUAGGGUGCGAGCGUUAAUCGGAAUUACUGGGCAAAGCGUGCGCAGGCGGUUCGCUAAGACCGAUGUGAAAUCCCCGGGCUUAACCUGGGAACUGCAUUGGUGACUGGCGGGCUAGAGUAUGGCAGAGGGGGGUAGAAUUCCACGUGUAGCAGUGAAAUGCGUAGAGAUGUGGAGGAAUACCGAUGGCGAAGGCAGCCCCCUGGGCCAAUACUGACGCUCAUGCACGAAAGCGUGGGGAGCAAACAGGAUUAGAUACCCUCGUAGUCC